UAUCAUUUACGCUUGGGAUAAAGGAAGAACAUAAGCUGGCGUAACCAGGCGUAGAUGGCCAUUUAUUUACAACAUCACAGAUCAAUCAACUGAAGUUGGCACAUAAGGAAAACAGCAGGGGAUGGCGCUAGACCAGUAAACUAACA